AGAGUUUGAUCCUGGCUCAAAUUGAACGCUAGCGCGAUGCUUUACCAUGCAGUCAAACGGCAACACGAAAGAGCUUGCUCUCUUGGUGGCGAGUGGGCGGACGGGUGAGUAAUAUAUCGGAACGUGCCCAGUAGCGGGGGAUAACUACUUGAAAGAGUGGCUAAUACCGCAUACGCCCUACGGGGGAAAGGGGGGGAUCGCAAGACCUCUCACUAUUGGAGCGGCCGAUAUCGGAUUAGCUAGUUGGUGGGGUAAAGGCUCACCAAGGCAACGAUCCGUAGCUGGUUUGAGAGGACGACCAGCCACACUGGGACUGAGACACGGCCCAGACUCCUACGGGAGGCAGCAGUGGGGAAUUUUGGACAAUGGGGGAAACCCUGAUCCAGCCAUCCCGCGUGUAUGAUGAAGGCCUUCGGGUUGUAAAGUACUUUUGGCAGAGAAGAAAAGGCAUCCCCUAAUACGGGAUGCUGCUGACGGUAUCUGCAGAAUAAGCACCGGCUAACUACGUGCCAGCAGCCGCGGUAAUACGUAGGGUGCAAGCGUUAAUCGGAAUUACUGGGCGUAAAGCGUGUGUAGGCGGUUCGGAAAGAAAGAUGUGAAAUCCCAGGGCUCAACCUUGGAACUGCAUUUUUAACUGCCGAGCUAGAGUAUGUCAGAGGGGGGUAGAAUUCCACGUGUAGCAGUGAAAUGCGUAGAUAUGUGGAGGAAUACCGAUGGCGAAGGCAGCCCCCUGGGAUAAUACUGACGCUCAGACACGAAAGCGUGGGGAGCAAACAGGAUUAGAUACCCUGGUAGUCCACGCCCUAAACGAUGUCAACUAGCUGUUGGGGCCGUUAGGCCUUAGUAGCGCAGCUAACGCGUGAAGUUGACCGCCUGGGGAGUACGGUCGCAAGAUUAAAACUCAAAGGAAUUGACGGGGACCCGCACAAGCGGUGGAUGAUGUGGAUUAAUUCGAUGCAACGCGAAAAACCUUACCUACCCUUGACAUGUCUGGAAUGCCGAAGAGAUUUGGCAGUGCUCGCAAGGGAACCGGAACACAGGUGCUGCAUGGCUGUCGUCAGCUCGUGUCGUGAGAUGUUGGGUUAAGUCCCGCAACGAGCGCAACCCUUGUCAUUAGUUGCUACGCAAGAGCACUCUAAUGAGACUGCCGGUGACAAACCGGAGGAAGGUGGGGAUGACGUCAAGUCCUCAUGGCCCUUAUGGGUAGGGCUUCACACGUCAUACAAUGGUCGGGACAGAGGGUCGCCAACCCGCGAGGGGGAGCCAAUCUCAGAAACCCGAUCGUAGUCCGGAUCGCAGUCUGCAACUCGACUGCGUGAAGUCGGAAUCGCUAGUAAUCGCGGAUCAGAAUGUCGCGGUGAAUACGUUCCCGGGUCUUGCACACACCGCCCGUCA
rnacentral:rRNA from 1 species